GGUGUAGGGAUCUUCCGCAGUGGACGAAGUCUGACGGAGCAACGCCGCGUGAGUGAUGAAGGUUUUCGGAUCGUAAGCUCUGUUGUUAGGGAAGAACAAGUGCCGUUCAAAUAGGGCGGCACCUUGACGGUACCUAACCAAAAGC
rnacentral:rRNA from 1 species